rnacentral:tRNA from 1 species
UUAGUUCAGUUGGUAGAACGCCGGACUGUUAAUCCGUAUGUCGCAGGUUCGAGUCCCGCA